rnacentral:lncRNA from 1 species
AUCGUCAGUCCUGUGACUUGCACUGAGCUAACGCUAACGCGCCCUGUGAGCUAACGAAGUCGACUCCCUGAACCUCCUUUGUCGGCGAGCCAAGUGAGUAUUAUUUGUUUCUGGUGCUUUUUGUUAUGUAAACAAACAUGGCAUCCAACAGAAUCCUACCUGAGACGAUGUGUCGUCUCAAAAUCCGAUCUCGAGCGAUAUAUCCUGAUGGUGUAACAACACCCAGCCCCAUCCACCUGACGGGAAAUAAUAGUUUCUUUGAACAAGAAACCCCUCCAUGCCACUAUCCUUUUGUCGUUGAUUUACAUCGAGCUAGGCAGAGCACACAGCCUUCUGACAUACUGUCGCUGCGCAAUAACCUAAACAUCCAGUAUCGGGAUGACACUUCUCUUGAGUACAGCGAUGUAGACAUGGCCGCUCACCGACACAGGGGCGGUAGAGAAAACGAUUUCCUUCCUGCUUGGCGAACGUUUGCCCUACGGACAAAUGUGAAUCUGAUGUCUACAGCGCAAGUUGAAGAAGUGUAUUCUGAUUAUGAAAUUCACUUAAGAGGCAGAGAAAAACAUGGUUGAUUCUUUCAGCGUAAAUUCUCCUGGAUAAAAGUACAGUACGAUAAUGGAAUUUAUAGACGUUAUGCCUUAACGGCACUAAACCCACCCAGUCUCCCUAUGAUGAGAGUCACUUACUAAGGAGAGUGGAAUUCAAAAUUUAUAGAAAAAAAACUUUUAGCUAGAUAUUCAUAUUCGUUCACAUAUAAAUGCAACUGUUUGCAUUUAUAUGUAUAUGCGAAAGCCACAAAUACAUAUAGUAACAAAAGGAAAAGUUUUUUUAACUAGCAAGUUAAAACUACUAAGCUUGGUGUCGGUGAGUCAAGGGAACAUUUUUUGAAAGUAACCAAAUAUUUGUCAGCCCUAAAAUUUACUCCUCCGUACACAAACUCCCCAAUCAUCUCCCAAGUCUGAGAAGUCUUGUGUUAUAUCUCUUUACCUCCCACUUUUUUUUGGCACCAGAAUCAUUUAGUACUCACUUGGCUCAGCAGAUGACGGAGGUUCGGGAUCAGCAGGUGUAAGUGUGAGGGCGUUCUCGGUCGCCACCUGUGUUAGUAACUUCCACAAAAGGAAGUGAAACGAACACUCACACACAAAAGCAUCAGUUGGUAAUAUAGGUGUCUUAAGUGUACACCAUGACAUACAUGCCAUCUGUGAGAGUGAUAAAGCAAUAUUGUACUUUAGAAAAUGACAUGAAGAUGAAAAAAAAAAGUCAUCAUCUAAGCAUAUUCUUCAAGUGUGUGAUGAAAGAGCUCUUUACCGAUGAGUGUCACUGAUUCCAGCUGAGGGUUACUAAUGGUCAGACAUCCACCUACAGUUACAGUAAUUCUUCUAGGUGAGAACCAAAGCCUAGACUCCUGUAGUUCUGUAUUCGUCAGCAUCGGUGGGGAAUAAUUGGAUUUUUCUGCCUUCAUCCUUGUGAAUAUGCGUCACCUGCAGGUUCCCAGGCCGGAAGAUCUGACCACCUGCAGCAUGUCACAUCAUAUCAUCACCAGUUUGACGUUUGCUCAGAUAGUGAUACAUGGAACACCAUAUGAAGUAGAGACUUCAGCACCUGAUGAUGGUUCUGCUUUACCAGUGAUGAUUAAUAAUAAUGAUUUAUAUAGUGCUUUUCCAAUGACUUGGUCAGAGCGCUUUACAGAAAUGAUACAGUCCUAACAUUUGUAUUGCCUCAACUAAAUUCCUGUUUGACCUAAGGGGACUAACUGAGAAUUAGUAAAACGUGCAAAUCAAAACAAAUUUGUUGUGUUUGCUUCCUGAAGUUUAUUGAAACUGGAUAGUUCCACAUAUUCCACCAAGCUGAAGGAGGUAUUUCAAAAAGGAUUGUUCUUUAAAGCUUGAAACAAAAUUUGGAAAAAGGCAGGAAGGCUUCACAGAUGAAAACAUACUCAAAAGUUGUCCUGUCCCACAUAUAAGGCCUUUUAGCAACAAAAUUGUUGUGCUUGCUAGAUCCAAUAUGCCAAUAUUACAAAAAAAAAAAUAAAGGAAAGGGCUACAGAAAGCAGAAAAAUUAAAAAUAUUCUUCACUA